rnacentral:rRNA from 1 species
UGGGGAAUAUUGCACAAUGGGGGAAACCCUGAUGCAGCGACGCCGCGUGAGUGAAGAAGUAUUUCGGUAUGUAAAGCUCUAUCAGCAGGGAAGAUAAUGACAGUACCUGACUAAGAAGCCCCGGCUAACUACGUGCCAGCAGCCGCGGUAAUACGUAGGGGGCAAGCGUUAUCCGGAUUUACUGGGUGUAAAGGGAGCGUAGACGGAGUGGCAAGUCUGAAGUGAAAACCCUGGGCUCAACCCUGGGACUGCUUUGGAAACUGUUAAUCUAGAGUGUUGGAGAGGUAAGUGGAAUUCCUGGUGUAGCCGUGAAAUGCGUAGAUAUCAGGAAGAACACCGGAGGCGAAGGCGGCUUACUGGACAAUAACUGACGUUGAGGCUCGAAAGCGUGGGGAUCAAACAGGAUUAGAUACCCUGGUAGUCCACGCUGUAAACGAUGAAUACUAGGUGUUGGGGAGCAAAGCUUCUCGGUGCCGUCGCAAACGCAAUAAGUAUUCCACCUGGGGAGUACGUUCGCAAGAAUG